UGUUUAACUUUGAUCUACCACGACCUAAACUUCCUUUCAUUUUAUCUUCUGUUUUCAAAAUACGGAACUUGUGCAUCUAGACAAUGUAAUGGUUCUUUACAAUUCCGAUUCCAAUAAUGGGUUUGAUAUUAUUGCAAAAGCUGCUAUGGAAGCAGGACAAUUGGAAGCUGAGAGUUCAUCAAGAAACAACCGAGAUCUAAUCAAUGCCGCACUUUUAUUCGAUUUUGAUUCCAAAGAUGAGUUUGAUAUUUUGGCCGGCCGAGUUCAUCCAUCUCUGUUGUCACUUUUAUUUUCCUCUGCACAAAUUCUUAUACAGGAUUGACGUGUGAAAUAAGUGGUCUGGUAUGGGCAGUGGGCACACUAGAAAAUCUUACCAAUUGGAGGGAUGUGUGUCCUUCCCUUUCAGUUAUUACAGGCACAAUCUACUUUUUGAUCAGCUGUACCAACCAAAGAAAGCUCCCAAUCCAAAACUUUGAUCUGGGUCUGUGCUGUGCAGGGAUUGUGGGCCCGUCCGGGGCCCGGAGAUGUUAUCAAGUGGUUCAAUCUUUUAAGCUUGUCGAGUAGGUCAUCAAGACCUUCACGACGAGCUUAAGCAAGUGAACUUCCCGAUUCCAUCACCAGACCCGAGACAAACUCAAAAUUGCCGCUCAACACGGGUUCUGUUCGCAAGCACACAACACAUUCCCCCAUAUCAAAGCCCGGCAGUAUCACAGUCAUUUCUCUGUCAUUCUUCUUGGUCAAGGAUUCCAUUAAGUUUAAGAAAAUCCUAUCCUUGGUUCAUUAAGACAUACCACAUCAAUUUAACUUCCCCUCUUUUACUAAUUGAGGCUUCAAACGAGA